AUGAGCAUGAGCACACUUCCCAAUUGUGCCUUCGUUGCUCAACCGCAUUUGCAGGUACCAGAGACGCACCGCGUCCGCGAGAUGGCCGUGCCGGUGUGGUUCUUCUCGUUGGCCUUGCUUGGCGCUCUCCAUGUCGUUGCCAUCAGCUUCCGCCUCAUCGCCUACUUCUCGGUCUUCCUCCGCAGGCCCAUUGACCUCCGCCACCGGUACGGCGCCUGGGCUAUCGUCACCGGCCCAACGUCCGGCAUCGGGCGCUCCAUGGCCCUGGAGCUCGCGGAGAGGGGCCUCAACCUCGUCCUCGUCGGCCGCGACCCCGCCAAGCUCAGGGACAUCUCCGAGACGAUCUCCAGGGCUCACGCCGCCGUGCAGAUCAAGACCGUGCUGUUCGAUUUCUCCCUCGUCUCCACCGCGCAAGGCGACGAGGCGAUGCGGCGGCUCCGGGAAGCCGUGGCGGGGCUGGACGUAGGGGUGCUGGUGAACAACGCGGGCGUGGCGAAGCCGGGCGCGGUGUACCUCCACGAGGUGGACGCGGAGGCCUGGGUGAGGAUGAUACGGGUGAACGCGCUGGCCCUGACGGAGGUGACGGCGGCGGUGCUGCCGGGGAUGCUGCGGCGAGGGAGGGGCGCCAUCGUGAACAUCGGCUCUGGCUCAUCGUUCGCCCUCCCGUCCUACCCCCUCUACUCCGUCUACGUAGCCACGAAGCGGUACGUUCUUGAGUUCUCCAGUAGCCUUUCCGUGGAGUACAAAAGCAGAGGAAUCGAUGUGCAAUGUCAGGUCCCGUUCCUGGUGGAGACAAACAUGGUGUCGAGCGCGGCCAGGGUCAUCCGGCAGUUCGUGCUGACCCCGGAUGCCUACGCGCGUGCGGCGGUGAGCUGGAUUGGGCACGGAUCGCUGUGUGUGCCCAACGCCGUCCACCGCCUCCAGGGAUGGUACCUGUACCUCUGCUGCUUCUCGCCGGAUUUCACCGAUAGGGGCUUGCUGCGGCGAAAUCUGAAGCAGAGGGUUAUCUUUCGGAGGCUCAGGUCAUGGAGGAAAUCACAGGGCAACUAUGAAGAAUGGAGGCUAGCAUCAUCCUCAAAGAGAUACACGAGACGUGCGGGAAUGUUAACAGUUUUAUGGUCAAUUUUGCUCGGUGAGAUGCCAACGAGCUGGCUCAUUUGUGUGCUAAGCAAGGCAAUUCAUCCAGAAGGAAGUGCUUAUGGAUUAGUUAUAUAUCGUGAGUGUAGCGUCAAAAACACUCUUAUAUUAUGA
rnacentral:rRNA from 1 species